rnacentral:rRNA from 1 species
ACGCACGCUGGCGGCGUGCUUAACACAUGCCCGUCGAACGGAAAGGCCCUGCUUUUGUGGGGUGCUCGAGUGGCGAACGGGUGAGUAACACGUGAGUAACCUGCCCUUGACUUUGGGAUAACUUCAGGAAACUGGGGCUAAUACCGGAUAGGAGCUCCUGCUGCAUGGUGGGGGUUGGAAAGUUUCGGCGGUUGGGGAUGGACUCGCGGCUUAUCAGCUUGUUGGUGGGGUAGUGGCUUGCCAAGGCUUUGACGGGUAGCCGGCCUGAGAGGGUGACCGGCCACAUUGGGACUGAGAUACGGCCCAGACUCCUACGGGAGGCAGCAGUGGGGAAUAUUGCACAAUGGGCGGAAGCCUGAUGCAGCAACGCCGCGUGCGGGAUGACGGCCUUCGGGUUGUAAACCGCUUUCGCCUGUGACGAAGCGUGAGUGACGGUAAUGGGUAAAGAAGCACCGGCUAACUACGUG